rnacentral:rRNA from 1 species
AAGGAGGAUUAAUACCGGAUGUGACCACCCUGCGAUUGCAGGGGAAGCUAAAGGAUUUAUUCACUUCCCGAGGGGCUCGCGGUCCAUCAGCUUGUUGGUGAGGGUAACGGCCCACCAAGGCGACAACGGGUAGCUGGUCUGAGAGGAUGGUCAGCCACACUGGAACUGAGACACGGUCCAGACACCUACGGGUGGCAGCAGUCGAGAAUCAUUCGCAAUGGGGGAAACCCUGACGAUGCGACGCCGCGUGGAGGAUGAAGGCCUUAGGGUUGUAAACUCCUGUCAAGAGGGAAUAAGCAAGUGAAGGUACCUCUAGAGGAAGGGGCGGCUAAUUCCGUGCCAGCAGCCGCGGUAACACGGAAGCCCCGAGCGUUGUUCGGAUUCAUUGGGCGUAAAGGGUGCGUAGGCGGCGCGGAAAGUCCGGCGUGAAAGGCAGAGGCUCAACCUCUGGACUGCGUUGGAUACUUCCGUGCUUGAGGACUGGAGGGGAGACUGGAAUUCACGGUGUAGCAGUGAAAUGCGUAGAUAUCGUGAGGAAGACCGGUGGCGAAGGCGAGUCUCUGGACAGAUCCUGACGCUGAGGCACGAAGGCUGGGGGAGCGAACAGGAUUAGAUACCCUGGUAGUCCCAGCAGUAAACGAUGUGAGCUUGAUGUGGGGGGAUUCGACCCCUUCCGUGUCGAAGCUAACGCGAUAAGCUCACCGCCUGAGGAGUACGGCCGCAAGGCUAAAACUCAAAGAAAUUGACGGGGACCCGCACAAGCGGUGGAGUAUGUGGCUUAAUUCGAUGCAACGCGAAGAACCUUACCUGGCCUUGACAUGCAUUGUGUCGUCGGUGAAAGCCGGCUAGUCCUGGAAACAGGACGCUUUGCACAGGUGCUGCAUGGCUGUCGUCAGCUCGUGUCGUGAGAUGUUGGGUUAAGUCCCGCAACGAGCGCAACCCUUGUGGUCAGUUACUAACCGGCUUAGCCGGAGGACUCUGGCCAGACUGCCCUGUCGAACGGGGAGGAAGGUGGGGACGACGUCAAGUCAGUAUGGCCCUUAUGGCCAGGGCUGCACACGUACUACAAUGCCCGGUACAAUGUGAACCGAAACCGCGAGGUGGAGGAAAUCGCUCUUGAAAACCGGGCCCAGUUCG